rnacentral:rRNA from 1 species
CCUACGGGAGGCAGCUGUGGGGAAUAUUGGACAAUGGGGGGAACCCUGAUCCAGCGACGCCGCGCGAGUGAAGAAGUAUUUCGGUAUGUAAAGCUCUAUCAGCAGGGAAGAAAGAAAUGACGGUACCUGACUAAGAAGCCCCGGCUAACUACGUGCCAGCAGCCGCGGUAAUACGUAGGGGGCAAGCGUUAUCCGGAUUUACUGGGUGUAAAGGGAGCGUAGACGGCGAUGCAAGUCUGAAGUGAAAGGCUGGGGCCUAACCCCCGGACUGCUUUGGAAACUGUAAGGCUGGAGUGCAGGAGAGGUAAGUGGAAUUCCUAGUGUAGCGGUGAAAUGCGUAGAUAUUAGGAGGAACACCAGUGGCGAAGGCGGCUUACUGGACUGUAACUGACGUUGAGGCUCGAAAGCGUGGGGAGCAAACAGGAUUAGAUACCCCGGUAGUC